UUGGCUGUCCAUGCAUCUCUGUUUGUAUUCGCUGGGAGUCAGCAUGCACCUGUGUGAGUGCGUGUGUGCGUGUGUGUCUCGCAAUCCAACUGGUUGUUUACCCAUGCUGUCAUGUUAGCAGCCCAUGCAGCAGUCUGCAGGGGAGAGGCAGAACUGGACUUGACAGACUGAACAUAACAAAAUCUGUGAACAAAGGAAUGUAUUUGAGAAGUUUGCGCCUCCAUCUUGAGUUGAAAGAAAUCUGAGGGGGACCAACUUUCCUUGCAGCAGUGAAGGUCUGAAAACAACAUAACUUGUAUCGUGAAUGGGGUAGCUGUAUUAAAGUCGGUAUUGGAUAAACGGCGGCAGCCAUGAUUUACACAAGCUUCUUGAUUUACGCUGACUCGCUGGCCUUCGUCGGAUGUCAAAGCCGGAGUCCAUUUGACACCGGAGGAUGUUUGAGCUUCAGUGUCCAGCCUGUGCCCUGUUGUUUCAGCUCGACUGUGAGGAUGUGGCCGUAAGGAACAUUGAUCCAGAAUGACCAGAGCAGGGAUAUAUUGGAUAUUUGGAUCCGACAUGCGUGUCUCAGACAAACGUUGAGACUUAUGGACAAUCAUUUCAGUUGUGAGUCCCCGAUGAAGCAUCGUUACCGUAUCGUUUUGCUGAACCUUACCCUGACUGGAAACGGAUUUGACCUCCUGCAGGCAAUGGGGACAAAACUCCGACGUUGGUUUUACUGGGAACGACCAGCCCGUAUUUGGUUGGGUCCGGUACCCUGCACUCCUGGAGCACCCACAAGACCUCCUGAAGGUCAUUGUCAAAUGUUUUCUCCAAGUCCACAAAGCACAUGGAGACUUGUUGGGCAGACUCUCAUGCACCCUGGAGGACCCUGCUGAGGUAGGAGAGGAAGUUUCCCUGGACCGCCCUUUCACGGCCAGCAUGAAAACCACAUUUCUCCUUCUGAAUCUGAGAUUCAACUUCAUCAUCUCCAAUUGGACCUUACCAAGGACGCUGAGGAGUGUGAACCCCCUUUAUUUGGAACACACCUUCUGGCCCCCCUUCUUAAAAAAGGGGACCAUCAAUUCGGUCUGCCAAUCCAGAGACACUGCCCCCGAAUUCUACAUGAUGUUGCAGUGGCUUGUCGAUUGGGUCAGGUCCACAACAUCAACAGCCUUUUGGGACUUCCACUUUUGGAGCCCUGCCACCAAGCACCUUAUGAACCACCUUACUAAUCUUGAACCGAAAGAUGGGAGAAUUUGCCUCAGAGUCCCCAGACUGCUUCCUUUUGUGUAGGUGGAAUUGAGGAGGUCUUCAAAGUAUUUGGACCACUGAUUCAUAACAUCCCAAGUUGAGAUCACCAGGUUGAUGUCACACUGCUUGAGACAUCGGAUGGUGGACCACAAUUUCUUUGAAGCCAUCUGGAAGUCAUUCUCCAUGGCCUCACCAAAUUCUGCCCAUGUCCAAGUUUUUGCCUGACCGACCACCAAUGCUACAUUCCAGUUGGCCAGCUGGUACCCAUCAGAUGCGUCCGUAAUCUAACAUGCAAAAGAGGCCUGAGAGGACCCCUUCUUCACCUGGUCUGCAUCCCUCACUGCUGAUGUCCACCAACGGGUUCGGGGGAUAUCACCAUAUGGCCACCGCUCCAGUUGGCUUCCUCCACAAUGGAAAGGCAGCACAUGGUCCACUCUGAUUCAUUGUCUCCCCCAUCGAGAUGUGGGAGUUGAAACUCCUUUCACAAGCUCAUUCUGUAUUCAAUAAAGAUAUAUGCAAGUGCACGAAAUUACCAAAAGCAGGUGUAGCCCACCUCCGAGCCGAGUAACGCCAAGCACAGCAUAGAAUUUACGUUAGUCAUGAAAAUAGAGCCCAAAAUGAUCGUGGCUGUUUUGACGUUUAUUUAUUAUGUUACGGGGUUGCGCUUGCAUUGUGUGCCUACAGAUGUAACUGUUGCAUGUAGACGCUGCACAUAUUGCACUCUUUCCCUCUUCUCAAUAUUCAUGAUAUGAGCGUGCAACAUGUGAGCGAGUGUGGUUUUGUUGGGGCGCUGUCCUCCCUCCAGCUAUAUCCUCCCUCGCCCAUGUUAAGGCAGCGUCCUGAGAUGCCCUCAGCCGGCUCAAUCCUUUCAAUGUGCAUGUGUCCCCCUUCUGCUGCUGCAACGUCCACAAAUGUCUGCCGCAGCAAAAGAAGGGGCAGGUGUUUCUACCUUAUGUGCACCCCCCCCCCCCCUUGCUUUCCCUCCUUCCUGUUCCCUUAUCACUGCAGUGUUGCAGCUCUGUCUGGGCGGCAGCGAUUCUAUUGUUCGGAGCAAAAGGGAUGUUCUAGGUGAAGGGAGCUGGGGGCGCCACUGGGUCCACCCCGCCCUGUGGAAUGGACAUGCUCCAAAUCACUGUGAUACUUGGCAUCUGGGUGCCAUCAGCAGCUCACAGAGGUUUUUUUUUUUUUGGUCUGGCCUCGCUGGACAGAGCUCACUAGUCUUUCUGCUGCAGAGCCCCGCCAUCUUGUUAGUGACUGUGCCGCUGGCCUGCUCGCCUCUUCGGCACUCAAUUGAAAUCGUCCGCCCAGCAGUAUUUGCCCGUGCUCUUAGCUCACUUGUUUUCGUUUUAGACAAAUGUGCCUUCGCAAUGAUUAAUAUGUUUAUUUUACAUACGUCACUUAUAACGCCUUUAAGUGUCGCAUCCAGGCAGACUCAAAAUGGUUUCACACACUUCUUUAACAGCUUCUCGUGCCACAUGCAUAGCAUAGCCUUACUAAAACGCUAAAAUAAUUCACUCUUAUCUUAAUGAUGAUGCAUUUGCCUAUAUUUAAUCAAAUACACAGCAAAUUAGAAGGGACUUUUUUUUUAAUGCUGUUCAACCGAGUGGAUCUUUGGGUGGGGGACCACACAAAUAUCAUAGUAAUGCUUAUUAUUAUUAUUACAGUGUAUGGAAGAAAAGCUCCACUGAAAAUUCAGAUAUUCAUAUUUGAAUUAAAUUGUCGCCAAAAUCGUUAUUCUGCUAUUAAUUUGUGCAGAUUAAAAUUUGGCGGGCAAAGUCAUUUUACUUUUUCAUUUGUAAUUAAUGCUUUUGUAUCAUAGUGUACAAAGUCAUUAUGUUUAAUAAAAUGCAUAGUGGUAAUCUUUUUAAGCACGGACCUAUUCAGCUCCAGCCAAUUAUUGACACCGAUAUUUGGCAUAUCGACAUCGGCAUUUUCAAAAAAUACCAAAUUCAAUAAUAGAUCAAGUUAUUUCUGGGAAAUAUUCAGUGAUUGAUUUAUUUGUUUAUCUGAAAAAAAAAAUAAAAAUGGUUGAAUGAAUUUAAUAUUAAAAGAAAUGCUCAUGCGUACAGGAGCUCCAUGCACAUUUGUUGGGGGGGAUAUCGAUAGAUGGAUAGAAGGGAAGAAAAUACUAAGAUGUUGCAAAUGUGAAAAGCUUUUUAAUAAAUAUAUUCAUAAAGUCAUUUAAAUGAAGACAAGCGUUGGAGUUUGUUUUGAAUUUCAACCUCUCGAUAAUGAAGACCAGAUGUCGGCCUUAUGCAUAGGAAAUCAAUUGUCUACACUUGCCUGUGACAAUGAUGCAGACAGGCACCAGUGCUCGUAUUUACUGUAUAAUCAGAUUUAACGAAGACCCUCUCUCAUAUUACUGCUUGUUUAAAAGCAGCACAACACAUUUAUGGAAGUGCACGGGCAAA